AUGAUGCUAUUCCUGCCUGAGAUAUUUACAUUUUCUGGGAUUUCUCCAGAGGUGGAGAUUUUGAAGAUUAUUGCUCUACUGUCAAAUCUGAAGGACAGAAGGUGGAGAAAGAAAGACAUAACAAUUGAGUUUCUCCACCUUCCCACCUACCACCUCAUCACUAAGAUAGAGUUGUGUAAGCUUACAGUCAUGAAAAACAGUUCCUGCCUACCCUUUGUCUUUCUUUUCCCCUUCUGGAGAAAAGGCUGAAGAUUAAAGACCCAAGAAGAAACUCUCCUUGUCGCAAGUCAGUUUCCCUCAGUGGACUCAAGCUCUCCAGACAGGUAUGUGCUGGAGCAAGCUCUAACUAGCUUACUAGGGUGGAUUGUUAAAGCUUUAACGUAAACUGAGAUAAACUUUUCAGAAAUUGUCAGUGCCUAUGCAUCAGGGCUUGAUUGCAUCAACUUGAGAAAGUAUUAGUAAAUAUCCUUCAGUGGAAGUAUUAGUUACCUGAUGGCAUCCAGAGGGUUGGAGAAAGAGAAAGCUAGCCAGAAGCUUUUUUUUUUUUUUAAUUGGUGCAGUAGCCAGCUCCCUGUUUUUUGCUAUAGGGUCAUGGAGAAUCAAGAAAAAUAUGUCCAUUAAGAUCUGGGCUGCCACAUGGUUGAAAACAGCUAAGCUCAGGAGCCACAGUAGGGCAAAGCACUAGUCAUCAUUCCCUUGGAGUAACUAGAAUCUUCUUUGAGUGCUCCCAGUCUUUCCUCCCUUAAGGUGAAUGGAUAAAAGUAAUAGCCAAGUCAACUCCAGCUAUACUGGACUUUUAAGAAAAUUUUACUUAUUCUAGUUUUAAAUUAUGGAGUAAAACAAGC
rnacentral:lncRNA from 1 species